rnacentral:misc_RNA from 1 species
GAAAUGCGAUAAGUAAUGUGAAUUGCAGAAUUCAGUGAAUCAUCGAAUCUUUGAACGCACCUUGCGCCCUUUGGUAUUCCGAAGGGCACACCUGUUUGAGUGUCGUGAAAUUCUCAACCCUCUUCACUUUUUUGUGAUCAGGGAUUGGACUUGGAGGCUUUGCCGGACUUUUCGUUCGGCUCCUCUCAAAUGCAUUAGUGCGUCUUGUUGCGACGUGCGCCUCGGUGUGAUAAUUAUCUACGCUGUGGUGCGCUUGCUUCUGUGGAGACAUGCUUUCAAACCGUCCGAAAGGACAACUUUCAUCGAACUUUGACCUCAAAUCAGGUGGGACUACCCGCUGAACUUAA